GACGAACGCUGGCGGCGUGCUUAACACAUGCAAGUCGAGCGGAGCGGCGAACGGGUGAGUAACGCGUGAGUAACUGCCCCCCUCUCUGGGAUAACAGUUGGAAACGGCUGCUAAUACCGGAUAGUGGGGGAUGACUCGCGUCCUAUCAGCUUGUUGGUGGGGUAGUGGCCUACCAAGGCGACGACGGGUAGCCGGCCUGAGAGGGCGCCCGGCCAAAUUGGGCUAGGGUACGGGCCAAAAUCCGACGGGGGGAAGCAGUGGGGAAUAUUGCACAAUGGGGGAAACCCUGGUGCAGCAACGCGCGUGCGGGAUGACGGCCUUCGGGUUGUAAACCGCUUUCAGCCAGGACGCGGUAGUGGCAGAAGAAUCACCGGCUAACUACGUGCCAGCCGCCGCGUUAAUAC
rnacentral:rRNA from 1 species